AACGAACGCUGGCGGCGUGCCUAACACAUGCAAGUCGUGCGAGAAAGUUCCUUCGGGAGCGAGUAAAGCGGCGCACGGGUGAGUAACACGUAGGUAACCUGCCCCCCAGUCUGGAACAACUAGAGGAAACUCUAGCUAAUGCCGGAUGAGACCACGAUCCCUUCGGGGGUUGCGGCCAAAGAUGGCCUCUACUUGUAAGCUAUCGCUGAGGGAUGGGCCUGCGGGCCAUUAGCUUGUUGGUGAGGUAACGGCUCACCAAGGCUGUGAUGGCUAGCUGGUCUGAGAGGAUGACCAGCCACACUGGGACUGAGACACGGCCCAGACUCCUACGGGAGGCAGCAGUGGGGAAUAUUGCGCAAUGGGCGAAAGCCUGACGCAGCGACGCCGCGUGGGUGAUG
rnacentral:rRNA from 1 species